rnacentral:tRNA from 1 species
GAGUAGCUCAGUUGGAUAGAGCAACUGCCUUCUAAGCAGUAGGUCUUGGGUUCGAAUCCCA